rnacentral:rRNA from 1 species
AUGAAGCUGGAUUCGCUAGUAAUCGCGCAUCAGCCAUGGCGCGGUGAAUACGUUCCCGGGCCUUGUACACACCGCCCGUCAAGCCAUGGGAGUCGGGAGUGCCUGAAGUUCGUGACCGUUUAGGAGCGACCUAGGGCAAGACUGAUGACUGGGGCUAAGUCGUAACAAGGUAAC